UACGGGGGGGCAAGCGUUGUUCGGAAUUACUGGGCGGUAAAGGGCUCGUAGGCGGCCAACUAAGUCAGACGUGAAAUCCCUCGGCUUAACCGGGGAACUGCGUCUGAUACUGGAUGGCUUGAGGUUGGGAGAGGGAUGCGGAAUUCCAGGUGUAGCGGUGAAAUGCGUAGAUAUCUGGAGGAACACCGGUGGCGAAGGCGGCAUCCUGGACCAAUUCUGACGCUGAGGAGCGAAAGCCAGGGGAGCAAACGGGG
rnacentral:rRNA from 1 species